CGGAGGAUCCAAGCGUUAUCCGGAUUUAUGGGUUUAAAGGGUGCGUAGGCGGGACAGUAAGUCAGUGGUGAAAUCCUAUCGCUUAACGAUAGAAUUGCCAUUGAUACUGCUGACCUUGAGUACAAAUGAUGUGGGCGGAAUGUGCAGUGUAGCGGUGAAAUGCUUAGAUAUUGCACAGAACACCGAUAGCGAAGGCAGCUCACAAAAAUGUAACUGACGCUGAGGCACGAAAGUAUGGGGAUCAAACAGGAUUAGAUACCCUGGUAGUCCAUACAGUAAACGUUGAUAACUCGAUGUGUGCGAUAUACAGUACGCGUCCAAGGGAAACCGAUAAGUUAUCCACCUGGGGAGUACGACCGCAAGGUUG
rnacentral:rRNA from 1 species